GACGAACCGUGCGAACGUUGUUCGGAAUCACUGGGCUUAAAGGGCGCGUAGGCGGGCUCGCAAGUCAGGGGUGAAAUCCCACGGCUCAACCGUGGAAGUGCCUUUGAUACUGCGGGCCUUGAGGGAGGUAGGGGCGUGCGGAACUUCCGGUGGAGCGGUGAAAUGCGUAGAUAUCGGAAGGAACACCAAUGGCGAAGGCAGCUCUCUGGGACGGUACUGACGCUGAGACGCGAAAGCGUGGGGAGCGAACAGG
rnacentral:rRNA from 1 species